rnacentral:rRNA from 1 species
CCUACGGGUGGCAGCAGUGGGGGAUAUUGCACAAUGGGGGAAACCCUGAUGCAGCGACGCCGCGUGUAGGAAGACGGUCCUCUGGAUUGUAAACUACUGUCCCCAGGGACGAAGAUGACGGUACCUGGGGAGGAAGCUCCGGCUAACUACGUGCCAGCAGCCGCGGUAAUACGUAGGGAGCGAGCGUUGUCCGGAAGUCCUGGGGGAAAAGGGAGCGUAGGCGGGGAUGCAAGUUGGGUGUUAAAUCUACCGGCUCAACUGGUAGUCGCACUCAAAACUGCAGCUCUUGAGUGAAGUAGAGGCAGGCGGAAUUCCUAGUGUAGCGGUGAAAUGCGUAGAUAUUAGGAGGAACACCAGUGGCGAAGGCGGCCUGCUGGGCUUUUACUGACGCUGAGGCUCGAAAGUGUGGGGAGCAAACAGGAUUAGAUACCCUGGUAGUC